ACUAUUUUGGCAGAGAAAAUGUAAUGGUUUUAGAAGUCAUAAAUAUAUAAAUUAAUUUAUAUAAAUAGUA
rnacentral:tRNA from 1 species